CGGACAAUAUACAAGGUGCUGCAUGGUUGUCGUCAGCUCGUGCCGUGAGGUGUCGGGUUAAGUCCCAUAACGAGCGCAACCCCUAUCAUUAGUUGCCAUCAGGUCAAGCUGGGGACUCUAAUGAAACUGCCUACGCAAGGUAGUGAGGAAGGUGGGGAUGACGUCAAAUCAGCACGGCCCUUACGUCCAGGGCUACACACGUGCUACAAUGGCCGGUACAAAGGGCAGCUACCUGGUGACAGGAUGCUAAUCUCAAAAGCCGGUCUCAGUUCGGAUCGCAGUCUGCAACUCGACUGCGUGAAGUCGGAAUCGCUAGUAAUCGUGAAUCAGAAUGUCACGGUGAAUACGUUCCCGGCCUU
rnacentral:rRNA from 1 species